rnacentral:rRNA from 1 species
AUUGAACGCUGGCGGCAUGCCUUACACAUGCAAGUCGAACGGCAGCGCGGGGGCAACCCUGGCGGCGAGUGGCGAACGGGUGAGUAAUAUAUCGGAACGUACCCAAGAGUGGGGGAUAACGUAGCGAAAGUUACGCUAAUACCGCAUACGAUCUAAGGAUGAAAGUGGGGGACCGCAAGGCCUCACGCUCCUGGAGCGGCCGAUAUCUGAUUAGCUAGUUGGUGGGGUAAAGCCUACCAAGGCAUCGAUCAGUAGCUGGCCUGAGAGGACGACCAGCCACACUGGGACUGAGACACGGCCCAGACUCCUACGGGAGGCAGCAGUGGGGAAUUUUGGACAAUGGGGGGCAACCCUGAUCCAGCAAUGCCGCGUGAGUGAAGAAGGCC